GACAGAGGAUGCAAGCGUUAUCCGGAAUGAUUGGGCGUAAAGCGUCUGUAGGUGGCUUUUUAAGUCCGCCGUCAAAUCCCAGGGCUCAACCCUGGACAGGCGGAUGGAACUACCAAGCUGGAGUACGGUAGGGGCAGAGGGAAUUUCCGGUGGAGCGGUGAAAUGCGUAGAGAUCGGAAAGAGCACCAACGGCGAAAGCACUCUGCUGGGCCGACACUGACACUGAGAGACGAAAGCUAGGGGAGCGAGUGGG
rnacentral:rRNA from 1 species